UACGGGGGGGGCAAGCGUUGUUCGGAAUUACUGGGCGUAAAGGGCUCGUAGGCGGCCAACUAAGUCAGACGUGAAAUCCCCAGGCUUAACCUGGGAACUGCGUCGGAUACUGGAUGGCUUGAAUCCGGGAGAGGAUGGUGGAAUUCCCAGUGUAGAGGUGAAAUUCGUAGAUAUUGGGAAGAACACCGAUGGCGAAGGCAGCCAUCUGGACCGACACUGACGCUGAGGCGCGAAAGCGUGGGGAGCAAACAGG
rnacentral:rRNA from 1 species